GGAGUGGACGCGGCGGCGAGUGCAGCCGAGCGAAGCCGAAGAACUCCGCUGACCGACCGGCACGGACGCAGAGGGAAGCGUGACUUGUGGAGGAAGAGACGUAAAAGGAAGAAGAAGAAAAAAAAAAGAAAAAACUCCCCAACCUUCCACGGCUCAGUUCGACACUUGGAGCGAGAGGCUCACGUGAGAGCCGGUUCGCGGCGCGAGGAACGGCAGCGGCCGCGACAGACCCGGAUAGACCCCGGUCUCCACCAGGACCUCGUGUUCGUCUGGACUCGUAUCCCCCGACACACACACACACACACGCGCACCAUACCAGCACCUCUUCAUUUACUUGGCGCUAACUCGCGCGUUCUGCGGCGGCUCAGUGGCGCGCGGUGGAUUUGUUUCGCGUGCUCGCCAGCUGGAGACGGGAGGAGGAAGCGCGCGGGUCUCGGAGCCGGAGAGAAAUGCCCACGGCGGCGACGAAGAGGAGCUUCAAAUCAAAAAGAUGGUCGCUGACCAUGUGUUGAUUGUGGAC
ensembl:lncRNA